UACGAAGGGUGCAAGCGUUACUCGGAAUUACUGGGCGUAAAGGGUGCGUAGGUGGUUUGUUAAGUCUGCUGUGAAAUCCCCGGGCUCAACCUGGGAACUGCAUUUGAGACUGCUCUGCUCGGGUGCGGAAGAGGGAAGCGGAAUUUCCGGUGUAGCGGUGAAAUGCGUAGAUAUCGGGAGGAACACCAGUGGCGAAAGCGGCUUCCUGGUCCGACACCGACGUUCAGGCACGAAAGCGUGGGGAGCAAACAGG
rnacentral:rRNA from 1 species